UUGACGAAGUUUGCAACCUGUGGUAAUUUUUUGAAACCUCGUCUAGAUUUCAGGAGAUUCUUGUCUUGACAACUGCUCGAACUCCCGAAUUGGCAUGCACUGCAGGUUGAGUGAAAUCAGUAUACAGAUUAUUGAAGGGAAAACAUCCAGACGGGGCGAGGAAGACGACAAAACAUGAUUGAGGAUCCCAAAGUUCUUUGGCUCAAGCUACUCAGCCUACCAUGAGAAAAUUAAAAGAUCUGCCAUGAAGAAGAGGCGGGUUCUCAAGUUUCAUAUUAUAGAUGGCAAGUAUUGUUUAGAUUUAAUUUUAAAGUAUUCUUGAUAAAAAAAGGGUGUUUGGCAGUUCAUAGCUAUUAACUGUGAUUGCAUUGUGUAUGAAUUUUCAAAAUCAAUUCAUUCUUUGGUGACUGUGUGCUUCAAACUCAUAAUUUUUAAUAAAAAUAUUGACUAUAUAUUUGUCUAGGUGUAUAAAAUGUUAAUCACUGAAUGAAUUCUG